rnacentral:rRNA from 1 species
UUCCAGACUCCUACGGGAGGCAGCAGUGGGGAAUAUUGCACAAUGGGGGAAACCCUGAUGCAGCAACGCCGCGUGAGUGAGGAAGUAUUUCGGUAUGUAAAGCUCUAUCAGCAGGGAAUAGAAAAGAAGGUACCUGAAAAAGAAGCCCCGGCUAACUACGUGCCAGCAGCCGCGGUAAUACGUAGGGGGCAAGCGUUGUUCGGAAUGACUGGGCGUAAAGGGUGCGUAGGCGGUGUAGCAAGUUAGAAGUGAAAUACCUAGAGCUUAACUCAGGUGCUGCUUCUAAAACUGCUAUACUUGAGUGCAGUAGAGGAAAGUGGAAUUCCCAGUGUAGCGGUGGAAUGCGUAGAUAUUAGGAGGAACAUCAGUGGCGAAGGCGGUCUGCUGGACAGCAACUGACGCUGAGGCGCGAAAGCGUGGGGAGCAAACAGGAUUAGAUACCCUAGUAGA